UAGGGAAUCUUCGGCAAUGGACGAAAAGUCUGACCGAGCAACGCCGCGUGAGUGAAGAAGGUUUUCGAAUCGUAAAACUCUGUUGGUAGAGAAGAACGUUGGUGAGAGUGGAAAGCUCAUCAAGUGACGGUAACUACCCAGAAAGGGACGGCUAACUACGUGCCA
rnacentral:rRNA from 1 species